GACGUAGGGCGCGAGCGUUGUCCGGAUUUAUUGGGCGUAAAGAGCUCGUAGGCGGCUCAUCGCGUCUGCCGUGAAAACCCGCAGCUCAACUGCGGGCUUGCGGUUGAUACGGGUGGGCUGGAGUUCGGUAGGGGAGACUGGAAUUCCUGGUGUAGCGGUGAAAUGCGUAGAUAUCGAGAGGAACACCUGCGGCGAAGGCGGGUUGCUGGGCUGACACUGACGCUGAGGCGCGAAAGCUAGGGGAGCGAACGGG
rnacentral:rRNA from 1 species